rnacentral:rRNA from 1 species
GAUGCAGCGACGCCGCGUGAGGGAUGACGGCCUUCGGGUUGUAAACCUCUUUCAGUAGGGAAGAAGCGAAAGUGACGGUACCUGCAGAAGAAGCACCGGCUAACUACGUGCCAGCAGCCGCGGUAAUACGUAGGGUGCGAGCGUUAUCCGGAAUUAUUGGGCGUAAAGAGCUCGUAGGCGGUUUGUCGCGUCUGUCGUGAAAGUCCGGGGCUUAACCCCGGAUCUGCGGUGGGUACGGGCAGACUAGAGUGCAGUAGGGGAGACUGGAAUUCCUGGUGUAGCGGUGGAAUGCGCAGAUAUCAGGAGGAACACCGAUGGCGAAGGCAGGUCUCUGGGCUGUAACUGACGCUGAGGAGCGAAAGCAUGGGGAGCGAACAGGAUUAGAUACCCUGGUAGUCCAUGCCGUAAACGUUGGGCACUAGGUGUGGGGACCAUUCCACGGUUUCCGCGCCGCAGCUAACGCAUUAAGUGCCCCGCCUGGGGAGUACGGCCGCAAGGCUAAAACUCAAAGGAAUUGACGGGGGCCCGCACAAGCGGCGGAGCAUGCGGAUUAAUUCGAUGCAACGCGAAGAACCUUACCAAGGCUUGACAUGUUCUCGAUCGCCGUAGAGAUACGGUUUCCCCUUUGGGGCGGGUUCACAGGUGGUGCAUGGUUGUCGUCAGCUCGUGUCGUGAGAUGUUGGGUUAAGUCCCGCAACGAGCGCAACCCUCGUUCCAUGUUGCCAGCACGUNAUGGUGGGGACUCAUGGGAGACUGCCGGGGUCAACUCGGAGGAAGGUGAGGACGACGUCAAAUCAUCAUGCCCCUUAUGUCUUGGGCUUCACGCAUGCUACAAUGGCCGGUACAAUGGGUUGCGAUACUGUGAGGUGGAGCUAAUCCCAAAAAGCCGGUCUCAGUUCGGAUUGGGGUCUGCAACUCGACCCCAUGAA